UACAGAGGUGGCGAGCGUUGUUCGGAUUUACUGGGCGUAAAGGGCGCGUAGGCGGCCCCGUGUGUCGCGUGUGAAAUCCCCGGGCUCAACCCGGGAAGUGCGCGCGAAACUGCGGGGCUCGAGCGGAGGAGGGGAGAGCGGAAUUCAUGGUGUAGCGGUGAAAUGCGUUGAUAUCAUGAGGAACACCGGUAGCGAAGGCGGCUCUCUGGAAUCCUGCUGACGCUGAGGCGCGAAAGCCGGGGGAGCAAACAGGAUUAGAUACCCGUGUAGU
rnacentral:rRNA from 1 species